rnacentral:rRNA from 1 species
AUUGAACGCUGGCGGCAUGCCUUACACAUGCAAGUCGAACGGUAACAGGUCUUCGGAUGCUGACGAGUGGCGAACGGGUGAGUAAUACAUCGGAACGUGCCCGAUCGUGGGGGAUAACGGAGCGAAAGCUUUGCUAAUACCGCAUACGAUCUACGGAUGAAAGCAGGGGACCGCAAGGCCUUGCGCGGACGGAGCGGCCGAUGGCAGAUUAGGUAGUUGGUGGGAUAAAAGCUUACCAAGCCGACGAUCUGUAGCUGGUCUGAGAGGACGACCAGCCACACUGGGACUGAGACACGGCCCAGACUCCUACGGGAGGCAGCAGUGGGGAAUUUUGGGCAAUGGGCGAAAGCCUGAUCCAGCCAUGCCGCGUGCAGGAUGAAGGCCUUCGGGUUGUAAACUGCUUUUGUACGGAACGAAAAGACUCUUUCUAAUAAAGAGGGUCCAUGACGGUACCGUAAGAAUAAGCACCGGCUAACUACGUG